AGAAUUAACACUAUUAGAAAUGUCUGAGUUUAACUUUUAAUCAUACUCUAAGAAAUUACAAGAGUUUUGGAGAUUUUUUCUACCAUAUAGAACUGUAAUAUUGAUGAGUUGUUGGCUUGUAGAGAAUGAAAUUGUAACCUAUAAUGAAAACUAUUGGUUAUAUAUGUUGUAUAUUUUUCUAGUGUUUUCAUGAUCUAAUUUUGUUGAGAAUAACAUGAGAUGUGUUUUAUUACAAAUAAAUGUGCUCCUAUAAAAGAAAA
rnacentral:lncRNA from 1 species